CCCCGGCCAGCCCCGUUUGCCCAGUGACAUCUCCACGGUGUGCGGGACAAAGGCGGACACGCAACAGCAGCAGAAAUCAGAAGAGAUCAUGGCUUCCAGGUUAAAGACCUUUGCUCAACUUUCUGCUGCUCUGAGUUAAUCUUUCUCUACCCAGCCAUCGGAGUGACCAGCACAGGAAUUUCCCAAUAUUUUGGCAUUUCAUUUCAGAGAACUGGACCCCAACCAGUCUGCAGCAGUACUGGAUGUUGCAAUGCAGUUCCAGACUUUCCCCAGGCUCCCUGUGGAGUGACCAGUGCUUCACCUACAGUUGCAGAGCCCCAUUUUGAGGGAAACUGGAUUUUUUUCCCCCAGAAACACAACCCACAAACACCAAAUAAGUGGUAUUUCUGCUGUGAUUAAAAGUAGCACAUUUUAGUUUUUCUCUGCUAGUUUUGGACAACAUGUGGUAUUUUCGUUUUGGGUUGGUCAUUUUCUUUUUAAUAUGAA